rnacentral:rRNA from 1 species
AGUGAACGCUGGCGGUAGGCCUAACACAUGCAAGUCGAACGGCAGCACAGUAAGAGCUUGCUCUUACGGGUGGCGAGUGGCGGACGGGUGAGGAAUACAUCGGAAUCUACUUUUUCGUGGGGGAUAACGUAGGGAAACUUACGCUAAUACCGCAUACGACCUACGGGUGAAAGCAGGGGAUCUUCGGACCUUGCGCGAUUGAAUGAGCCGAUGUCGGAUUAGCUAGUUGGCGGGGUAAAGGCCCACCAAGGCGACGAUCCGUAGCUGGUCUGAGAGGAUGAUCAGCCACACUGGAACUGAGACACAGUCCAGACUCCGACGGGAGGCAGCAGUGGGGAAUAUUGGACAAUGGGCGCAAGCCUGAUCCAGCCAUACCGCGUGGGUGAAGAAGGCCUUCGGGUUGUAAAGCCCUUUUGUUGGGAAAGAAAAGCAGCAGGUUAAUACCCCGCUGUUCUGACGGUACCCAAAGAAUAAGCACGGGCUAACUUCGU